UGUACAUGGCUGCCUUCUUUCAUGAUUCUGUCAAUCUCUGCAGGACUUAAAGCAUGGAAUAGAUAGCCUCCCUCAACAUCGCCACUGAAGUGGAGUCAGGUGGAGGGAAUGGAGCAGAUGUAGAGGUAUUGCUGGACCAGGAAACACAGAGCAGGAAGGUAGCACAAAGGAGGUCAAAGUGCAUCUGCGAGAUACAGUGUCAGCAUUUGUGCCCGGGUAAUUCCUUUGUUUUCAGUUUAUCUACUUCAUGCUGAUG
rnacentral:lncRNA from 1 species